GAUGAACCCUCUGCUCUACAACAUCACCCAGGUGGUCAUCCUGUCUGCUGUGUCCGGGGUCAUCAGUGACUUACUGGGCUUCAACCUGAAGCUCUGGAAGAUCAAAUCAUGACAGUAAGCUGAUCAGGUCACAGCUGGCUCUGGAAGAUGUGAUACAUUCUCUCACCACACAGGGGCGCUGUUGUCCUUUCGCUCACGGACUGACUGGGCUUCCCUGUAUCUAUGGUCUGACGGACAAACAGCCCCAUUCUCAGAGUUCAUAACGGAGUGCUUACAUUUCACUUGUGCAAUUCAAGAUAUAUUUAUUUUACCCUUUCAGUAUUUUUAAUUUUUUUUGUUGUUGAAGAAGUUACAAAAUGUUAUUUUAAGCUAUACAGGUUUUGUGUUCUCAGAGGGAUGGAAUCAAAACACAGCAAGAUGACAAUUCAGUUAAAAAGGUAAAAGAGUUCCAUCCCUUCAGACUAGUAAGGACAAUGUGCAUUAUAAUGCAGCUGUUUAGUUUGUUGACUGUGACACACAAACGCAGUCAUUUCACUGUGAGACCUGCAACGAGUAGUUGUUUCCGAUCAUAGACGGACUGUAAUAAUAAUAAUAAUAAUGUGUUUUAAAGCCUACAUACACAAACAGGUUGUACUUUCUGGUCAAUUCCAUGUAGGCUUUUUUGUUGUUGCUUUUGACGACAACAACAGUACACCAAAGUUCAGAAUAGAUGAACAAUGUUUCUGUGUGUUUGGCGUUUCUAAUGAUAAGCUAAGUGACGGCUGUAGUGGAGAGACAGAGGCAGGAUAAAACAACACUCAAAUGAUUGGUGAGAAAAUAGGUGAGGUACUGUACUGGCUAGAUGGGAGGUACUGUACUGGCUGGAUGGGAGGUACUGUACUGUACUGGCUGGAUGGGAGGUACUGUACUGUACUGGCUGGAUGGGAGGUACUGUACUGUACUGGCUGGAUGGGAGGUACUGUACUGUACUGGCUAGAUGGGAGGUACUGUACUGUACUGGCUGGAUGGGAGGUACUGUACUGUACUGGCUAGAUGGGAGGUACUGUACUGUACUGGCUAGAUGGGAGGUACUGUAUUGUACUGGCUAGAUGGGAGGUACUGUAUUGUACUGGCUAGAUGGGAGGUACUGUACUGGCUGGAUGGGAGGUACUGUACUGUACUGGCUAGAUGGGAGGUACUGUACUGUACUGGCUAGAUGGGCUGUACUGUACUGGCUGGAUGGGAGGUACUGUACUGUACUGGCUAGAUGGGAGGUACUGUACUGGCUGGAUGGGAGGUACUGUACUGUACUGGCUGGAUGGGAGGUACUAUACUGUACUGGCUAGAUGGGAGGUACUGUAUUGUACUGGCUAGAUGGGAGGUACUGUAUUGUACUGGCUAGAUGGGAGGUACUGUACUGGCUGGAUGGGAGGUACUGUACUAUACUGGCUAGAUGGGAGGUACUGUACUGUAUUGGCUAGAUGGGAGGUACAGUACUGGCUGGAUGGGAGGUACAGUACUGGCUGGAUGGGAGGUACUGUACUGGCUAGACGGGAGGUACUGUACUGGCUAGACGGGAGGUACUGUACUGGAUUGGCUAGAAGAGGUACUGUACUGACUAGAUGGUAGGUACUGUACUGACUAGAUGGUAGGUACUGUACUGGCUGGAUGGGAGGUACUAUACUGGCUAGAUGGGAUGUACUGUACUGUAUUGGCUAGACGGGAGGCAUUGUACUGGCUGGAUGGGUGGACUGUACUGUAUUGGCUAGAUGGGAUGUACUGUACUGGCUGGAUGGGAGGUACUAUACUGGCUAGAUGGUAGGUACUGUACUGUCUUGAUGGGAGGUACUGUACUGGCUAGAUGGGAGGUACUGUACUGGCUGGAUGGGAGGUACUGUACUGGCUAGAUGGGAGGUACUGUACUGGCUAGAAGAAAGGUACUGUACUGGCUAGAUGGUAGGUACUGUACUGGGUGGAUGGGAGGUACAGGCUAGAUGGGAGGUACUGUAUUGGUUAGAAGGGAUGUACUGUACUGGGUGGAUGGGAGGUACAGUACUGUACUGGGUGGAUGGGAAUAUGUAAACCUAGCCAACAUAUCUGGGUUAGUAUUCUGUAUGUCAAAUUGAGACCUCCAGGCCCGCUAGCUAAACGGUGUGUGACUGAACAUGGUUAACUAUGUUACUCGUAUAAUGAUCAUUUGGGGGGAGGUGUGUUUGUCCUGGUACACACUUGUACAAGUCUGUAAUGGAAAUGUGUUUCUUACAUACUGAGACCCUGAGGGAGUGGGGUCGCGACCUUUUAUGGUGAUACCAUUCAGUAUUGGCUUCUGUACUCCCAACCCUAUUUUGUAAACCAGACACAGUGAGGUGUGCAGUCUGGUUGAAAUACUGCUAUUCAGGCCUGUGAGCCGUCAUCACCACCUCGUCAACAUGUUGAUUUCUCUCAACCCUCCUUCCCUGGUUUACUGUUUUACGUUGCAUGGUUUUCUCACAGAGCAUUUGAGUUAUUUCAGCGGUUCGACUGUAUUUCAAGCAAUAACUCGUAGCUCAACACACAGCGUGUUUGUGUUAUAGUUGGAACAAAGAGGUCCCAGGUCUUAGUCGCUGUUCGCACAGUCGAUGUUCGUCGCUACCGUUUGGAAUGCCUGAAAAUGUGCACUUUAAAGUAGUGUAUAGAAACGAUGUUACAUGUUUCAAUGUCACACAAACCAUUGUAGUUGUUACUGCUUGGUACUUUUUGGCGCGGCUCAGUCUGGGUGAAGAUGACCAAAGUGCUUUUUAUUUGCUGGAUAAAACUGUAUUAUUAAAACACAAAAUAACUGUUUCGGUUUCAUAUUAUUGGAAAUGCUUUAAGAAAACAUGGCGUUGCCUCAUCUUUUCCUUCGUUGUUGUUGUGAAGAUUGUCCCUCGUGUUUUGUGGUUGAGAGAAAAGACACCAUUUGCAGUCACUUGAGUCUGAAAAAUGUAUUUAGAAAAUGACUCUGAACCUGUCUGAAAUGCCAUCCUGAUCCCUAGUGCACCAGAGCCCUGGUCAAAAGUAGUGCACUACGUAGGGAAUAGGGUGACAUUUCCGACGAACCUGUCUGGAAUGCCAUCCUGAUCCCUAGUGCACCAGAGCCCUGGUCAAAAGUAGUGCACUACGUAGGGAAUAGGGUGACAUUUCCGACGAACCUGUCUGAAAUGCCAUCCUGAUCCCUAGUGCACCAGAGCCCUGGUCAAAAGUAGUGCACUACGUAGGGAAUAGGGUGACAUUUCCGACACACACUUGUUUUUGCGUUGUGAUUCCGUUUUCAAAGGAAGUCUGGAUAUUUAUGUUGAAGAGAAGAAAAACAACGUUUUGUGAGCUGGUCUGUUUCCUCAGUUCUAGGUGUUUAUAAGGAAAAUAAAAAUGGACAUUGUUGUGUCACUCA